UACGAAGGGGGCUAGCGUUGUUCGGAAUUACUGGGCGUAAAGCGUGCGCAGGCGGCUUCUCAAGUCAGGGGUGAAAGCCCAGAGCUCAACUCUGGAAUUGCCUUUGAGACUGAGUGGCUUGAGUACGAGAGAGGUGAGUGGAAUUCCCAGUGUAGAGGUGAAAUUCGUAGAUAUUGGGAAGAACACCGGUGGCGAAGGCGGCUCACUGGCUCAUAUCUGACGCUCAGGCGCGACAGCGUGGGGAUCAAACAGG
rnacentral:rRNA from 1 species